UUUGUUCCACUAGAGAGUGCUCUUGUUUCAUGGUGCAACUGCCUUUUAUUUAUUACCCUAAUAAUAUCCUGUAUUUUUAUUGGACUAAAUGCAGUUUGUAUUUGCUGCCCUGCCCUGCCCUGAUCAAAUUAAAUAAUACACUGUGCGUUUCCCUCAAAAUAUAGACAGUACAUUCAGCCUUUGUUUUUAGUCGGUUCAUUAAGUUGCAUGGAAAUACGAAUCACUGAUACAUUUUGUUCAUGUCUUUAUAUAGUUUACCAAUAGUUGUUCAUGC
rnacentral:misc_RNA from 1 species